GAUGAACGCUAGCGGGAGGCCUAACACAUGCAAGCCGAGCGGUAGAGUUUCUUCGGAAACUUGAGAGCGGCGCACGGGUGCGUAACACGUGUUCAACCUACCUUUAUCUGGGGGAUAGCCUUUCGAAAGGAAGAUUAAUACCCCAUAAUAUAAUGAUUGGCUUCUAUUAUUAUUGAAAACUCCGGUGGCUAGAGAUGGGCACGCGCAAGAUUAGAUAGUUGGUGAGGUAACGGCUCACCAAGUCAAUGAUCUUUAGGGGUCCUGAGAGGGAGAUCCCCCACACUGGGAAUGAGAAACGGAACAGACUCCUACGGGAGGCAGAAGUGAGGAAGAGAGGAAAAUGGGUGAGAGCCUGAUCAAGCCAUCAAGCGUGAAGGAUGACGGUCCUAUGGAAUGUAAACUUCUUUUGUACAGGGAUAAACCUACCCUCGUGAGGGUAGCUGAAGGUACUGUACGAAUAAGCACCGGCUAACUCCGU
rnacentral:rRNA from 1 species